ensembl:lncRNA
UGCCAAACCACCAGUGGGAAGGCGGCCCGGAGGUACUUCCAGUCCGCCUGGAAGCAGCAGGUUGUCAUCCUUGGCCUUGUCCCCUUGGCCUUGUCCCCUGACAGAAGUGCUUCCUGGAAUCCUGGACUCCGAUUGACGUUUGGCCCAUAAAUCCUGCAGGAGAGACCCGGCCCUCAGGAGCUGGACGGCAGACGCAGCGUUUCUGCAACAUCAAGAAAACGGCCACAUAUUUUUCUAAUUGUCUCCCUUGCAAAUGAUUCUUAAACAGCCUUACAAAAAACGUUUGCCCUGCCUCCCUCCCCGUGAGUUAAAAACGCACACCCGAGGUUGCCAGUGGGCAUAACCGCUUCUGAUUCCAGCGCAGGGCAGGGGGCCCUCGGCGAUCGCUGGGGCGGGAGGCAGGUGGUUGUCCCUGCAGGAUGCAAAGGGACCUUUUUCCUUUUUAACUAAUUCCUGAAAGCAAAAGCUCUUCCCGCCCAGGAGCAAGCGGAGCGUCGCCUAAUUGGGGGCCGUGGGAAAUGCGUGAAGACACCAGCUUCCUUCCGUGAGGUCUUGCUGCUCCCAUUUCAGCGCUAAUUAAUCACCCUUGCGAGGGAGCUGAGCGUGCGC